GACGAACGCUGGCGGCGUGCUUAACACAUGCAAGUCGAACGGAAAGGCCCUGCUUUUGUGGGGUGCUCGAGUGGCGAACGGGUGAGUAACACGUGAGUAACCUGCCCUUGACUUUGGGAUAACUUCAGGAAACUGGGGCUAAUACCGGAUAGGAGCUCCUGCUGCAUGGUGGGGGUUGGAACGUUUCGGCGGUUGGGGAUGGACUCGCGGCUUAUCAGCUUGUUGGUGGGGUAGUGGCUUACCAAGGCUUUGACGGGUAGCCGGCCUGAGAGGGUGGCCGGCCACAUUGGGACUGAGAUACGGCCCAGACUCCUACGGUAGGCAGCAGUGGUGAGUAUUGCACAAUGGGAGGAAGCCUGAUGCAGCAACGCCGCGGGCGGGAUGACGGCCUUCGGGUUGUAAACCGCUUUCGCCUGUGACGAAGCGUGAGUGACGGUAAUGGGUAAAGAAGCACCGGCUAACUACGUG
rnacentral:rRNA from 1 species